GAGGCAGCAGUGGGGAAUAUUGCACAAUGGGCGCAAGCCUGAUGCAGCCAUGCCGCGUGUAUGAAGAAGGCCUUCGGGUUGUAAAGUACUUUCAGCGAGGAGGAAGGUGUUGUGGUUAAUAACCGCAGCAAUUGACGUUACUCGCAGAAGAAGCACCGGCUAACUCCGUGCCAGCAGCCGCGGUAAU
rnacentral:rRNA from 1 species